rnacentral:rRNA from 1 species
ACAGAGUUAGAUGUGCGUGAGGGGUAGAGAGAUAUUCAUGGGUAGAGCGGUGAAAUGUGUAGAGAUCAAGAAAGCACAACUGUGGAGAAGGCGCUCGCACUAGGCCGCAACUGACACUGAUGGGCGAAAGCUAGGAGAGAGCAUGAGAUUAUAUCCCCGAGUAGUCCUCGCUAUAAGAGAUGGAUAAUAGGUGUUGCGAGUAUCGACCCUCGCAGCGCAGGAGACACAGCGUGAAGUAUCCCUCCUGAGGAGUAUGCCAGCAAGUGUGAAAAUCAAAGGAAUCGACGGGGGCCCGCACAAGCGGUGGAGUAUGUGGUUUAAUUCGAUGCAACGAGAAGAACCUCACCAAGACUCAACAUGUCGAGAAUUCUCUGGAAAGGGAGGAGUGCCUUAGGGAGCGUGAACCCCGGUGGUGCAUGGCUGUUGUUAACUUGUGUUGUGAGAUGUUGGGUUAAGUUCCGCAACGAGCGCCACCCUUGUUUUUAGUUGCCAGCCUUAAAUUGGGCCCUUUAGAGAGACCGCCGGUGACAAACCGGGGGAAGGUGGGGAUGAAGUCAAAUUCGCCUGCGCCCUUACUCCUUGGGUUCCCCACUUGUUCCAAGCUCCGAGCCAAGGGCAGCAAACUAGCGAUAGCCAGCAAAUUCUGAAAAUCGGAGCUCAGUUCAGAUUGAAGGCUGCAACUCGCCUUCAUGAAGG